AACGUAGGACGCGAGCGUUAUCCGGAGUUACUGGGCGUAAAGCGCGGGCAGGCGGUCUGACAAGUCUGAUGUGAAAUCUCCGGGCUUAACCGGGAGAGGCCAUUGGAAACUGACAGGCUGGAGGGCAGUAGAGGUAGGCGGAAUUCCGGGUGGAGUGGUGAAAUGCGUAGAGAUCCGGAGGAACACCAGAGGCGAAGGCGGCCUACUGGGCUGCACCUGACGCUGAGGCGCGAAGGCGUGGGGAGCGAACGGG
rnacentral:rRNA from 1 species